rnacentral:rRNA from 1 species
UACGUAGGGUGCAAGCGUUAAUCGGAAUUACUGGGCGUAAAGCGUGCGCAGGCGGUUGUGCAAGACAGAUGUGAAAUCCCCGGGCUUAACCUGGGAACUGCAUUUGUGACUGCACGACUAGAAUCUGGCAGAGGGGGGUAGAAUUCCAUGUGUAGCAGUGAAAUGCGUAGAUAUGUGGAGGAAUACCGAUGGCGAAGGCAGCCCCCUGGGCUAAGAUUGACGCUCAUGCACGAAAGCGUGGGGAGCAAACAGG